GGAGAGGAAGCCUUAGUGGCGGACGGGUCGAGUAACGACGUGAGACAUACACCUUGGAGUGGGGAAGUAACAACAUGAAAACUAGUGCUAAUACCGCAUAAUACAACUGUGUCGCAUGGCAGUGGUUGUCAAAGAUUUAUCGCUCUGAGAUGAGCUCGCGUCUGAUUAGCUAGUAGCGGGGUAAAGGCCCGACCUAGGCGACGAUCAGUAGCCGGACUGAGAGGUUGGCCGGCCACAUUGGGACUGAGACACGGCCCAGACUCCUACGGGAGGCAGCAGUGGGGAAUAUUGGGCAAUGGGCGCAAGCCUGACCCAGCAACGCCGCGUGAAGGAAGAAGGCCUUCGGGCUGUAAACUUCUUUUAUGAGGGACGAAGGAAGUGACGGUACCUCAUGAAUAAGCCACGGCUAACUACGUG
rnacentral:rRNA from 1 species